AGCCAUCGUUUAAACAGUGC
rnacentral:antisense_RNA from 1 species